AUUGAACGCUGGCGGCAGGCCUAACACAUGCAAGUCGAACGAGGGGCGGACGGGUGAGUAAUGUCUGGGAAACUCCCUGAUUGAGGGGGAUAACUAAUGGAAACGGUAGCUAAUACCGCAUACCGUCGGAUGUUCCCCUAUGGGAUUAGCUGGUAGGUGGGGUAAAGGAUCACCUAGUCGACGAUCCCUAGCUGGUCUGAGAGGAUGACCAGUCAAACUGGAACAGAGACACGGUCCAUACUCCUACGGGAGGAAGCAGUGGGGAAGAGUGGAAAAUGGGCGCAAGCCUGAUGCAGCCAUGCCGCGUGUAUGAAGAAGGCAUGCGGGUUUUAAAGUACUUUCAGCGUGGAGGCGGUACCCGCAGAAGAAGCACCGACUAACUCCGUGCCAGCAACCGCGGUAAUAC
rnacentral:rRNA from 1 species